UUGAAUGGUGUAAACAGCUUAUAGCUGCUACAAUUUCUAGUCAGAUUUCAGGUUCAGUGACAUCAGAAAAUGUAUCCAGAGACUACAAGGUUUUCAGGAGGCCUGAUAUAAGGAAUAUGCAUAAAGCAAGACAAAGAUUGGAGAUUCAGGAAGAACACAAUGGCUACCCUUCUGAAGCCGAAGCUGAUCAGGUGGCAAGUUCUACAUGUUCAUCUGUUUGUAGCUACAGAUCGUGUAUUUAGAAGCCAUUUCAUACUAGAUUUCUAGAUGAUAAGCAAAUGCUUUUCCACUACAGUAGUGCUCUCCUGUCCAAGUUUGGUAGAUUCCAUUAUGACAUUAUUUGCAAAAAUUGGUUUAUCCAACAUUUUGUCAACCAGAAAUUUGUUCAUCUGUGCUUCUCAGUUUUCCCAGAUAGGGUUAGCUAUGAGGUAAGGAGUCUUAGUCACAGCAGGACUCUGAAAUGCCUUCACAGAGAUUGAGAGGGGACAGAUGCAUAUGCUCAGGGUGCUCCUUGAGGUUAUAGACUUUGCUUUAUUCAAAUUUGCAUGAUCUGUGCCCAACAUAGUACCUGGUACCUUGUAGGUAUUUGUAGAAUGAGUCCAUAUGGGUUAUAUUUAUUAAUCAGAAAAAAAAAAUCAUGCAUCAAGAUUCUUGAGUGCUUACUCUUUGCUCGGUUCCUCAAGACCCUCUGGAGUCUUUUAAAGCCUCAGAACUUUCUCCAAAGCUUAUUUAGAAUCUCCAUGUAUGAAAGCGCUUAGAAGAGCAGCUCCAGGGAAGCAUGGUCAGCUACCCCCGUGCUCAGCUGUGCCUUUGCCCAGCCCACCCUCCUUUGGUGACCCUGGAAGCACCUUGAAGAGCCCGAUUUGAAAACCACUGCUUUUGGCAUGCAGCCAUUAUAGAAACUGUCCACACAGCAGCUUCGAUUCAUGAUGAGAAAAGUAGCAGAGAGGCCAGGGCCGUCUGGUGGGCUGGAGUCUUCAGGGACAAAUUCAGGGAGCUGGUGGGCCUUCCGCUGGACUUUCAGGGUCACUGGAACAGGGUUUGGAUGAGAUCAUCACAAGGAAUUCCUCAACUGGGCAACACAUGGAGCAGAGAUGCCAAGAGGAAUGAGUGUGUUCAUGAGAUCAAAUUUUGUCCACAAGAAUUCUAUUCCAUUCUUUGAUUGUACUGUACAUGGGUUGGAUAAAUCAAGGGUCAAAUCAUGUCUUGUGCAACUUGGUAGUUGCAGUCAAAGCUUAAUGUAGCACAAGUGUGAGUCCCAUUUCCUAACACCAGCUUUAUUAAGGGAAUCUACUGUACUCACAAAAUAACGAGCCUUUAGAAACCAUUCUUCUCUUGAAUUCCUAUGCUAAAGCUAAAUGCGUUUCCUGUACAAAAUCAGACUUUUAUGGGAAAAUCAGAAGCAGUGGGAUCAUUUGUUUUGUUCUGAUAGUUGCUUUUCCAUCACUUAUAAAGCAUGCCCCGGAUUGAAUUAUUAUUAGUGAAAGGUUUGUCUCAUGUCUUACCAGCACGUCCAUGCCUCAUAUAUAUGCACAGGUAUUUCAAGCCAAAUUUAACAUGACUAUCAGAAAAGAAGAGACAUAUUUGAUCUUCAACCUCAAUCUUGAGAGCCCUGUACAUUCUCAAAGUGGUCCCAGUCACUGGUGUCGCCCAUCUGCAACUUUUUAGUAGCUAGUCCCGUGUAGAGGACUUGAAAGUGUUUGAUGUGGCUCGCUAUAAAGCUUAAAGUGAAUCACACCCCCCCUGCCCCUCCCCGCUCCCCUUCCAGGUUCAGUUGAUUAGAACAGCUUGCUUUGGUACAUAUAUUUCAAAAUAACCCAUCCCCAUUUAUUUUUAAAUAUAAGUUAAGGAAUUUAGGUCUAUAUAUGAUAAUAUUUAACCAUUAAAAUAAGCUUUAACAGUGUAAUAUUUGAAGUAACCCUAAACUUAGAUAUUGAUUGAACUAGCUUUCUCACUUUGUAACUAUAUUGUAAAAUUAAUCACUGGUUCAGGCAAAAGAAAGCAGAACUUCAAAUUAAGACUUCUAAGAUUGGUGAUGUUAGUAUUUCUAAAACUGAACAUUUAGAAGUAUAAAUAUUGGCUUAUGCUUUAUUGAUAAAAGAUGUUUCCAAAUCAGGUGUGAGUAUAAAAAUGAAUCCAUUAACAAUUCUCCAUUUACCCUUUAAUGGUUCUCUAUGUCCCUAAAAAAUUUUACUGCAGUGUUUUAAAAACCAAUCUGGACCAAAACAUCAAGCUGAAUAAAAUUGUUCAGAGGUAAUAAUGAGCCCUUAAUCUGUAAUCUUUUAAUCGUGUAUCUUGAUAAGGAGGAUGGACCGCAUCAUUUUGUACCCUUCCUGUAGAACAGACAUACCCCAACUGACAUUUAGCAUGGAAUUUGCUUUUUAUAUUUUUUUAAGUUUUUUUUUUAAAGAUUUUAUU